rnacentral:misc_RNA from 1 species
AACGCACGAGACCUGCGGACCUGCGGAAGGAUCAUUACCGAGUUAUACAACUCCCAAACCCACUGUGAACCUUACCUCAGUUGCCUCGGCGGGAACGCCCCGGCCGCCUGCCCCCGCGCCGGCGCCGGACCCAGGCGCCCGCCGCAGGGACCCCAAACUCUCUUGCAUUACGCCCAGCGGGCGGAAUUUCUUCUCUGAGUUGCACAAGCAAAAACAAAUGAAUCAAAACUUUCAACAAUG